rnacentral:tRNA from 1 species
AUGUGGCUCAGUUGGUAGAAUGCUUGCCUAGCAUGCAUGAAGUCCUGGGUUCAAUCCCCAGCAU